CUAACAAGGAUUCCCCUAGUAACUGCGAGUGAAGCGGGAAAAGCUUCAAAUUAAAAUCUGGCAGUGGUUCACUGCCCGAGUUGUAAUCUAGAGAAGUGUUGCUCACACUGGACCAUGUAUAAGUCUUCUGGAAUGAAGCGUCAUAGAGGGUGAGAAUCCCGUCUUUGACAUGGACUCCCAGUGUAUUUGUAGCAUGCUCUCAAAGAGUCGAGUUGUUUGGGAAUGCAGCUCUAAAUGGGUGGUAACCUCCAUCUAAAGCUAAAUAUUGGCGAGAGACCGAUMGUGAACAAGUACCGUGAGGGAAAGAUGAAAAGAACUUUGGAAAGAGAGUUAAAAAGUACGUGAAAUUGUUGAAAGGGAAACGCUUGAAGUCAGUCACAUUGGCCAGGGAUCAACUUGCUUAAGUGUACUUCCUGGCUGAUGGGCCAACAUCAGCUUUGACUGUCAGAGAAGGGUAGGGGGAAUGUGGCACCCUUCUUGGGUGUGUUAUAGCCCUCUGUCAUAUAUGGCCGUUGGGGCUGAGGAAUGCAGCGCGCCACAAGGCCGGGCUUCGACCACGUUCGCGCUUAGGAUGUUGGCAUAAUGGCUUUAAUCGACCCGUCUUGAAACACGGACCAAGGAGUCUAACAUGCCUGCGAGUGUUUGGGUGGAAAACCCGAGUGCAUAAUGAAAGUGAAAGUUGAGAUCCCUGUCAUGGGGUGCAUCGACGCCGGACUUGAGCUUUCUAGCAAUGGCUCUGCGGUAUAGCAUGUAUGUUGGGACCCGAAAGAUGGUGAACUAUGCCUGAAUAGGGCGAAGCCAGAGGAAACUCUGGUGGAGGCUCGUAGCGAUUCUGACGUGCAAAUCGAUCGUC
rnacentral:rRNA from 1 species